AAGCUAGAAGAUGAUGAGAUCACAUCCUAUACAUCUUGGCGGGCCUCGACAUGGAUUUCAACCCUGUAGUCUCCUCAAUAUCAGUGCACGUGGAGCCGCUGAGACUCGCCAAACUCUACACCCAGCUGGUGAGCUCGGAGC
rnacentral:snoRNA from 1 species